GCCCUCCUGGUGUUAUGGUCAGCACACUCGGCGCGUAUUCGAGAGGUCGGUGGUUCGAGUCCCGGCGAGGGCA
rnacentral:tRNA from 1 species